rnacentral:ribozyme from 1 species
UUUGUUGAAUUGGUUCCUCCAUUUGCUCAUUGAUUCGCUACAACAACCAUGAGUUUCCGCCCGGAUACCAAUAAGUUUAAGCAGGAGAUGCCGCCUCCGGGCGGCUUCCCCAAGGUCGAUGUUAUGGAAAAGAUGCGAUCUCGUGGACCGAGUGGUGCCAUGAUUUGGGGAGUUUCCGUUGCCAUG